rnacentral:rRNA from 1 species
CGAGUGGCGGACGGGUGGGUAAUGUCUGGGAAACUGCCCGAUGAGGGGGAUAACUACUGGAAACGGUAGCUAAUACCGCAUAAUGUCUACGGACCAAAGCGGGGGACCUCCGGGCCUCGCGCCAUCAGAUGAACCCAUAUGGGAUUAGCUAGUAGGUAAGGUAACGGCUUACCUAGGCGACGAUCCCUAGCUGGUCUGAGAGGAUGACCAGCCACACUGGAACUGAGACACGGUCCAG